UGGAUUGAAGAUUUUCUAUAA
rnacentral:piRNA from 1 species